UACAGAGGUCCCAAGCGUUGUUCGGAUUCACUGGGCGUAAAGGGUGCGUAGGCGGUCGGGUAAGUCUGAUGUGAAAUCUCACAGCUUAACUGUGAAACUGCAUUGGAUACUAUCAGGCUAGAGGAAUGGAGGGGAGACUGGAAUACUUGGUGUAGCAGUGAAAUGCGUAGAUAUCAAGUGGAACACCAGUGGCGAAGGCGAGUCUCUGGACAUUUCCUGACGCUGAGGCACGAAAGCUAGGGGAGCAAACAGG
rnacentral:rRNA from 1 species